GAGUGAGACACCCAAAAAUGCCCCUCAGAGGGGGAGCCUGACCCCAGGAGACACCCAGGACACAGAGAGGAGACCCUGAGUCUUCAGAAAACAUUUUAUCAGAUCCCAGCCCUGCCAAGCUCCUCAGCUCACGCUGCCUUUCAACACACCCGGCUGGCUCCAAGGACACUUAAACCAGUGACGGGAAUGUGACGUCCUUCUCUGAGAGGGACAACACUUGGGAAGCACGAAGAGCCCCCAGCUGCAGCUGACUCACAAUUAUUCUGCUCUGAAACUGCUCUGUGGUAUUUUUUGGAGCUGUUAACAUCCCAUUAAAAGUGUCCUGUUGAGCAGAGCUGGCUGGCAGGGAGCAGGGAGGGUGCAGGCCUGGAAGGAACCGCAGCUUUCCCGUUAUGCCUCAGGCAGCACGAAAUAAGCCCCUGGUUACCAGGGAGCUCCUGGCAGCGUUAGGAGGAUGCCCUUGGCACUGUGGUCCCCAAGCCAGGGAGAAGGGGACUCCCUGGGACACUCCUGCUGUGCUGACAGCAUUCCCAAGGGAUGGGAUCACACCUUGCAUCCCAGAGGAAUGUCCCCAGCAGCACAGGCAGGGCUGGCCCUUUCCUGACCUGUGCCAAACCUCGGUCAAAUCCAUGACCCAAGAGCUGAACCAAAACCCUCCAGCACCAAAGCGCC
rnacentral:lncRNA from 1 species